UGGUCUGCGUUUUGACUGUCUUCGUGCUAAUUUCUAAUCGUAUCUUUGCGAUAUGAGCCAGAAACUUGGACGUUUUUCGGACCCACGAGAUCCGAAAAGGCCAGAGCGUAUUUCGUUGGCUUACGGUGAAUGGAAAGAUAUCCCAAGCAGAAUUAUAAAAAAGUAUGGAAAGGUGGUCACUGAACUUGAUCUAAGCUACAAUAAAUUUUUUGAUUUAAAGUCCUUAUGCGGCUUCACGAAGUUAAACACAGUCAUCCUAGAUCACAACUCAAUAUCAGCGAGAUCAACAUUUCCCCAAUUGGACACGCUUGAGAUAUUAUGGCUAAAUCAUAAUCAAAUUACAAACCUGAGUUUAUUUAUUGAGAAAAUCUCGCAGAGCUAUCCAAAUCUUAAAUAUCUUAGCAUGAUCAAUAAUAAAGCUGCCCCAAGCUACUUCAAUGGUGGCACCUACACCUCGUACACAGAUUACAGGCAUUUUGUGAUUAGUUCACUUUGCAAACUUGAAAUAUUGGAUGGCACAAUUAUUACUGAGAGUGAACGAAAAGAAGCUACAAAGGUGUAUGGAAAACGAAGAGUAAAAACUCGCAAGGAUUAUGUACAUAAUAAGAGGAGAUUGUGAAAUCAUAUAUUAAUUUUUCUGAUAUUACACUAAAACCGUUAUCAAGUAGUUCAUGUUUUA
rnacentral:lncRNA from 1 species